rfam:Chlorocebus sabaeus isolate 1994-021 chromosome 20, whole genome shotgun sequence.
GCCGGGUGCAGUGGCUCACGCCCGUAAUCUCAGCACUUUGGGAGGCUGAGGCGGGCAGAUCACGAGGUCAGGAGAUCUAGUCCUUCCUGGCUAACUAGGUGAUACCCCGUUUCUACUAAAAAUACAAAAAAAUUAGCCAGGCUCGGUGGCGGGCGCCUNNNNNNNNNNAGGCGCCCGCCACCGAGCCUGGCUAAUUUUUUUGUAUUUUUAGUAGAAACGGGGUAUCACCUAGUUAGCCAGGAAGGACUAGAUCUCCUGACCUCGUGAUCUGCCAGCCUCAG